UUAGAGUUUGAUCAUGGCUCAGAUUGAACGCUGGCGGCAUGCCUUACACAUGCAAGUCGAACGGCAGCACGGGGGCAACCCUGGUGGCGAGUGGCGAACGGGUGAGUAAUACAUCGGAACGUGUCCUGUAGUGGGGGAUAGCCCGGCGAAAGCCGGAUUAAUACCGCAUACGAUCUACGGAAGAAAGCGGGGGAUCCUUCGGGACCUCGCGCUAUAGGGGCGGCCGAUGGCAGAUUAGCUAGUUGGUGGGGUAAAGGCCUACCAAGGCGACGAUCUGUAGCUGGUCCGAGAGGACGACCAGCCACACUGGGACUGAGACACGGCCCAGACUCCUACGGGAGGCAGCAGUGGGGAAUUUUGGACAAUGGGGGCAACCCUGAUCCAGCAAUGCCGCGUGUGUGAAGAAGGCCUUCGGGUUGUAAAGCACUUUUGUCCGGAAAGAAAACCUCUUGGUUAAUACCUGAGGGGGAUGACGGUACCGGAAGAAUAAGCACCGGCUAACUACGUGCCAGCAGCCGCGGUAAUACGUAGGGUGCGAGCGUUAAUCGGAAUUACUGGGCGUAAAGCGUGCGCAGGCGGUCUGUUAAGACCGAUGUGAAAUCCCCGGGCUUAACCUGGGAACUGCAUUGGUGACUGGCAGGCUUUGAGUGUGGCAGAGGGAGGUAGAAUUCCACGUGUAGCAGUGAAAUGCGUAGAGAUGUGGAGGAAUACCGAUGG
rnacentral:rRNA from 1 species